AUACGUAGGGGGCAAGCGUUAUCCGGAUUUACUGGGUGUAAAGGGAGCGUAGACGGUGUGACAAGUCUGAUGUGAAAACCCGGGGCUCAACUCCGGGAUUGCAUUGGAAACUGCCAUACUUGAGUGCAGGAGAGGUAAGCGGAAUUCCUAGUGUAGCGGUGAAAUGCGUAGAUAUUAGGAGGAACACCGGCGGCGAAGGCGGCUUACUGGACUGUAACUGACGUUGAGGCUCGAAAGCGUGGGGAGCAAACAGGAUUAGAUACCCUGGUAGUCCACGCGGUAAACGAUGAAUACUAGGUGUUGGGGGUCUAUAGACCCUCGGUGCCGCAGCAAACGCAAUAAGUAUUCCACCUGGGGAGUACGUUCGCAAGAAUGAAACUCAAAUGAAUUGGCGGGG
rnacentral:rRNA from 1 species